rnacentral:rRNA from 1 species
AUGUUGAAGGAGGAUGCCGAUGGUGGCAAGCAUGGUUCGCUGAGAGGUUGGGUGGAUACAGGGGCAAAUGGCUUGGGUCAGCACUCCCGGACAGGGUCAACACACAGUUCUCUUGCAACGACGAUCCAGUCUGUUUCCUGCUUCCGCAGAAGCACCGGUCUCUGUCUCUCUGACGCCCAACAAUGCAGACACCUCUUCCUUUUUUUCCACUUUGAUACCACAGUACCCGCACAAGCACAAUCGCUCCUCCAGGAAGACAUGAUGUGUGCUCUAGCGCGGCGACGGGAGCCGCUUCCACCUACCCCAGCGACCCCAACCACCGUGGAUCUCUCUGCUCCUCCCGCCUUCAUUGAUGGCAUCUCCGGCCGCGUGCUGCCCUGCAUCGCGCUGCUGGAAGCGGGGGAAACCUCCGCUCCCCGUCUCGUUGACCGGGUCUCCGGGCGGGUUCUCCCAUGUGUGGCCCUGCGCGAGAUGGAUCCUGCCGAGAAUCGGGUAAGUAACUCCACCAUUCCCCUUUCUUGCUCGCUGCCAGCCGCCCAGCCGUCCGCCGCAGGGCCUCCCGCCCCAUCUUGGGCGUCGACGUUGGCCGCUUCUGCCAGGCCGCGGCCCCUCUCGAUCGUUGUUGCGCCAGGACCUGGAGAUUCGCCCGCGCCCUUCAUGGCGCCGCCCUGCCCGAGCACCCCCUCUGGCGCCUCUGCUGCAGGCCCUGCAUCGGCGAUCUCUCCGGCUGCUCUGGUGAUUCGCUCCUUGCCUCCGCCCCCCGCAGUGGCAUCUAUUGGGGGUGGGGAUGCCGCUGGGUGGACCGAGGUCGCCUCUCGGCGCGCCCAGAAGCUGGCGCGGCGUCACACACGCGAGGCCUCCCAGUAUCCAAAAGAUCGGCGCCAUGAUCGCUCUGCUUCGUCUGUGGCUGCGGAUGCAUUCAAGAGGCGCUUUGGCAAUGCGUGCUACCAUUGCCUGGGCUCAAGACACAAAGCAAAGGCGCACCUGUUCCCCCACAACCGGCUGCGCUGCGCCCUCUCCCAUCCUUGGCUGCCCCGACCGCCGCUCCUCUGGCCUCCAGUUCGCCCGCUGCUCCUCUGGCCACCAGUCUGCCCGCCGCCGUCGAGCGCGUCUCAGGUGCCACCUCCGCCGGCUACCGUGGUGCGCCGCGUGGUGCCAUCUGCGGGGCCCAUGGCCUACAUCCCGGGCGAGGCGUCGCGGAGACCGGCCAACUCCAGCUGCAAGGUGGUCAGCACGCCGGCCAUGGAGGCGGAGGCCCACCGCCUGCGCUCGUCCGCUCUCGUCCUGACAGCGGUCGGGCACUGCUCUGGCAUCACGGCCGACAUGGUGGCGAGUGCGGUGGAGCGGGUCUUCCGCUUCCCGUCGAGAGACAUCGCCGUCGCGCCGUUCUUCCCCGAAGACUUCCUCCUCACCACGUUCCAACCUGCCCAGAGAGACUUGGCCCUUGAGCAGCGGGGCAUUGAGGUGGCCGGUGUGCAGUUCAAGUUUCGACCGUGGCUUCCUCCGCCUGGUACUAGCCGCAUCUGGCGCUACUACUGCCGGGUGGCCAUUGAGAGGCUGCCGCUGAACUCCUGGGAUUGGGAGUGUGUCAAGGAGGUCCUCGGCAAGGACUGUGAUCUGGACCUGAUCGAGCGUCAAUCAACCACCAAGGCCAACUGCUCAGCGCUGUUCGCAUGGCUCUGGACUUGGCACCCGGACAAGAUCCCCCGCGCCUCUGACUUCGCCGUGCUGCAGCGGCCCGACGUCGUUCGUCCUAGGGAAUUUUUGCCCGAAGGCACCCCCGCGGAGGAGGGUAAAGAAGGGCCGGCAUUCCCAGUGCUGAUCCACUUGGAUAUCGUCAAGGACUACACGCCGAUCUCCCCUGGGCGCGACGAGCGCGCGAGGUGGCCGCGCACGUACCGCUUCAAGGGCAAGUGGCGGUUUGGCACCAAGGAUGGAGAGGACAGGGCCAGGUCCGUGGGCUCCGGUUCCAACCAUCUGACUGGGCACAGGAGUGAUGAUGAAGAGGGGGAUGGAGAAGACAACAACCGUCGCCGUGGAUCGAGGGGAGGGGUGCGCAAGCGCUUCUUCCAGAGCAUGCGUGAGCAAGCCAUGUGUCGGGGCACUGCGAGCAGGGAGCCGGAGCCUCGGCGCCAUCGUCGGCACGCCGCUGCCGCCGCCGAGGACCCAGUUGGCGCUGCCGCCGCCAAGGACCCAGUUGGCGCUGCCGCCCCGUCUGUCCUAGAGGUGGGGCAGGGUAGCCGGCCGGCCGUUGUCAAUCCUGAGGUGGCUCAGCCUGUAGAGAUGCGUAUGGUGCUGCAGCCUGAGGUGCAGGUGGUACAGCCUGAAGAAGUGCAGAUGUGGCAGCCUGAAAGCUUAAGGUGGCUGCCCGACAGCCAGGGCAGGCAAGAUGUUGGCGCUGAGAUGCGGCCCUCCCAACGGGAGCGCGAGCAUGUGCUCGUGGCCCCGUCCUUGGAGGUGCAGAGGGAGCUCGUGACCUCGCCCCAAGGGGUGCACCCCGUCCUGCCUAUGCAAAUGGCUGGGGUACAAGCAGACCAGCCGGCAGAUGAUGACACCGGAAGUGAUGCUCAAAGCGCUGCGGAUGCCCCGACCGCCAGGUUCAGUGCUGACGAGCGGCUCGCUGAGUCUGCUCUGCCGCCCCCUGAGCUCGCUGCCAGAGCUCUAGCGGUGAUGGACACUGAGGAUAGGGGACCGUCGCUGACCGACCUCGCAUCAGGCCUGCCUGGCUCCAUGCAGCAGCAACUCCAGCAGCCUGGCCUCAUGGCUGGGAUGAUGCCGCUGUACUCCCCGCCUAGGCAGGAGGUGCAGCCUGUCUGGGCUGAUUUCUUCAGCUGUGGCACGACCGGCGUGGACUCCUUUUUUUGCGUUGGGCCAUCAAGUCACGAGCUACCACCGCUGCCGCCUUCCCUGGGAUCAUGCGCCAUGUCGCCUUGGGGUUCUUCGGUCACGCCCGUUGCCGCUGCCGGGCACAGCUGGGAGCUGCUUGCACCUAGCUGGAGCCCUUCCUGGCUCCCAAGCUGGGAGGAGGCCCAGCUGCAGCUCCCGCAGUUGGUGCCGACUUGGGCCUCUGGGCCUGAGGUGGUGUUUGGGCCUGGUACAGCAACGCCGCAGAUGCAGCCUACUACAACACCACCUCCACAACCCGGUUUCAGCCAGGCCCAGUCAAUCGAGGAGCGGAGGGCCCGGCAAGCGCUUGCAGACGCCAACCUUUCAGGAGCUGGACUGAUCGCUGUCAUCGCUGAUCGGGUAUCGAUGUUGCAUAUUGAUGAGCAGAAAGCCUUCAUAAACAAGAUCGCCUCGCUGCUGUCCUCUUCUAUCCUGCCCGCGCCAGCGCCACCUGUUUCAGCUAGGCGCAAUCUCAAGAGCAAACUGGCCGGUGUGAUCAAGCCCCCCAGGCAGAGUGCCCGGCUGCUUCGCCUGCAAUCCAACUUCUCCUCCUCCCGGAGAGCUCAAGCUGCGAUCUGUGUCAAGUUGGGUUUCAUCAAGAGAGAGGCAGACUUCAACGACGACACGCUGCUAGCCUACAUCGACUUCUUCCGCGAGCCCAUGCCGACCGACAACGUCGCGAAGCUGAUGCAGAUUGCUAGACUCUCAUCCCUGGCACAGCUGCGCCUACCUGAUGAGGAGCUUCAAGCCAUCCUCGACGAGCUCUCGAUGAGAGCGGCCUGA